rfam:Zea mays cultivar B73 chromosome 2, whole genome shotgun sequence.
ACCAAUUCUGGAGGAUAAUUUUGUUCCUCGUGGUAUAAUGGCUUGGGCGCCACAUACUACUCUCUAGAUGUGUGGUCAUAUCCUGAUUCAUGGCGUUCUUAUGCCAAUCUAAUCCUAGAAAGGUCGCAUACAUUC